rnacentral:rRNA from 1 species
UACGUAGGGUGCGAGCGUUGUCCGGAAUUAUUGGGCGUAAAGAGCUCGUAGGCGGUGUGUCACGUCGGCCGUGAAAACCUGCAGCUUAACUGUGGGCGUGCGGUCGAUACGGGCAUCACUGGAGUUCGGCAGGGGAGACUGGAAUUCCUGGUGUAGCGGUGAAAUGCGCAGAUAUCAGGAGGAACACCAGUGGCGAAGGCGGCUCUGGGACGAUACUGCU